GUAGUGAAAGCGUUCGGCUCAACCGGAUAUCCAUACCAAAAACUGCAAAGCUAGAGGACAAGAGAGGUCACUGGAAUUCCUAGUGUAGGAGUGAAAUCCGUAGAUAUUAGGAGGAACACCGAUGGCGUAGGCAGGUGACUGGCUUGUUCCUGACACUAAGGCACGAAAGCGUGGGUAGCAAACGGGAUUAGAUACCCCGGUAGUCCACGCCGUAAACGAUGGAUGCUAGCUGUUAUAGGUAUCGACCCCUGUAGUAGCGAAGCUAACGCGUUAAGCAUCCCGCCUGUGGAGUACGGUCGCAAGACUAAAACAUAAAGGAAUUGACGGGGACCCGCACAAGCGGUGGAGCGUGUUGUUUAAUUCGAUGGUAAACGAAGAACCUUACCCAGACUUGACAUCCUUGGAAUCACUACGAAAGUAGAGAGUGCUUUAUUGAGCCAAGUGACAGGUGUUGCAUGGCCGUCGUCAGCUCGUGUCGUGAGAUGUUUGGUUAAGUCCAUCAACGAGCGCAACCCUUGUGAUUAGUUGAAUUUUUCUAAUCAGACUGCCCUGGCAACAGGGAGGAAGGAGGGGAUGAUGUCAGGUCAGUAUUACCCUUACGUCUGGGGCUACAAACACGCUACAAUGGCCGGUACAAAGGGCAGCCAAGUCGCAAGACGGAGCAAAUCCCAUCAAAGCCGGUCUCAGUUCGGAUAGCAGGCUGAAACUCGCCUGCUUGAAGUCGGAAUCGCUAGUAACGGUAGGUCAGCUAUACUACCGUGAAUACGUUCCCGGGUCUUGUACACACCGCCCGUCAAACCAUGAAAGUCGCCAAUACCUGACGUGUGAGCUUCGCCUCGCCCUAAGGUAGGGGAGAUGAUUGGGGUUAAGUCGUAACAAGGUAACCA
rnacentral:rRNA from 1 species